rfam:Bombyx mori DNA, contig: Bm_scaf80_contig32835, strain: p50T/Dazao, build 2, whole genome shotgun sequence.
UAAACUCAAUUUUAUAUGGAGUUGGAACGUUUGCCUAGGUUUGCCGCUAGGGGUGCUGCUCCAACUGCAUACAAAUUUGAGUAA